GGUGCGCAGGCUGUAAAGCAAGUCAGUGGUGAAAGCCCUGGGCUUAACUCAGGGAUUGCCAAUUGAAACUGUUNUACUAGAGUGUAGUAGAGGACGGCGGAAUGAGUUGUGUAGCGGUGAAAUGCAUAGAUAUAACUCAGAACACCUAUUGCGUAGGCAGCNGUCUAUACUACAACUGACGCUGAGGCACGAAAGCGUGGGGAGCGAACAGGAUUAGAUACCCUGGUAGUCCACGCUGUAAACGAUGAUCACUCGUUGUUGGCUACUUAGUAGUCAGUGACCAAGGGAAACCGAUAAGUGAUCCACCUGGGGAGUACGUCGGCAACGAUGAAACUCAAAGGAAUUGACGGGGGCCCGCACAAGCGGAGGAACAUGUGGUUUAAUUCGAUGAUACGCGAGGAACCUUACCUGGGCUUAAAUGCUGGCUGCAUUGGAGGGAAACCUUCAUGUCCUACGGGACCGCCAGCAAGGUGCUGCAUGGUUGUCGUCAGCUCGUGCCGUGAGGUGUCGGGUUAAGUCCCAUAACGAGCGCAACCCCUAUCGCUAGUUGCCAGCAUGUAAUGGUGGGGACUCUAGCGAGACUGCCGGUGUAAACCGGAGGAAGGUGGGGAUGACGUCAAAUCAGCACGGCCCUUACGUCCAGGGCUACACACGUGUUACAAUGGCCGGUACAAAGAGCAGCCACCUGGCGACAGGGCGCUAAUCUCUAAAACCGGUCUCAGUUCGGAUCGAAGUCUGCAAUUCGACUUCGUGAAGGUGGAUUCGCUAGUGAUCGCGCAUCAGCCAUGGCGCGGUGAUAAGUUCCCGGGCCUUGUACACACCGCCCGUCAAGCCAUGGAAGUCGGNGGGUACACUGAAGUCCGUAACCGA
rnacentral:rRNA from 1 species